GAUGAAGAACUCAUCGAAAUGCGAUAGGUAAUGUGAAUUGCAGAAUUCAGUGAAUCAUCGAAUCUUUGAACGCACAUUGCGCCCUUUGGUAUUCCUUAGGGCAUGCCUGUUCGAGCGUCAUUUCACCACUCAAGCCUCGCUUGGUAUUGGGCAACGCGGUCCGCCGCGUGCCUCAAAUCGACCGGCUGGGUCUUCUGUCCCCUAAGCGUUGUGGAAACUAUUCGCUAAAGGGUGUUCGGGAGGCUACGCCGUAAAACAACCCCAUUUCUAAGGUUGACCUCGGAUCAGGUAGGGAUACCCGCUGAACUUAAGCAUAUCAAUAAGCGGAGGA
rnacentral:misc_RNA from 1 species